rnacentral:rRNA from 1 species
AUUAUGGAGAGUUUGAUCCUGGCUCAGGAUGAACGCUGGCGGCGUGCCUAAUACAUGCAAGUCGAACGCGCGGAUCAG